GACGAACCGUGCGAACGUUAUUCGGAAUCACUGGGCUUAAAGCGCGUGUAGGCGGUCCGGUAAGUCCGCUGUGAAAGUCGGGGGUCAACCUCGGAUGCCGGGUGGAUACUGUCGGGCUUGAGUACGGAAGAGGCGAGUGGAAUUCCUGGUGUAGCGGUGAAAUGCGCAGAUAUCAGGAGGAACACCAAUUGCGAAGGCAGCUCGCUGGGA
rnacentral:rRNA from 1 species